UACAGGGAGUUUUUAAAGAACACCAGUGUCUGGAACUCACCGAAGACCAAAUUACAUCAAAACCUCUGGCAGUGGGGUCCAGACAUGGGUAUUUUUAAAUAGCUCACCUAUGAGGCUAAUGAACUUCCCUGGUGGCUCAAAUGCUCUGAUCCCAGAAGUGAUGUCCAGAGCUGCUGCAACCAUAUGGAAUGUGAUCAUUUACCUACAGUCCAAUUAAAAAUACUCAAGCAAAAGUUUAUAUUUUUGGAAGGGAGGUGUUGAAGAUGGUGGAGGAGUAAGAUGUGGAGAUCCUCUUCCUCCCCCAAAAUACAUGAAAAAUGCACAUGGAACAAUUCCUACAGAACACCUACUGAAUGCUGCCAGAAGGCUUCAGACUUCCAAAAAGCCUGACUGAGCAAGUGAGCCCGUGGCCUUAUUAGGGCCCUCUUGUCUGUGGCCUACACGCAGAGCGGGGGCCAAAACCAAAGCGGAACACCAGGGGCUGUGUGACCAAAGAAGAGGAAAGGAAUUCACUCUGGCAGGAGCGGAUGCAGCAGAUUAAAUCCCUGCAAUUGGCUUAAGACUGUGAGCUUUGGGGGCAACUGUGGACUUUGGAAGCAAGUACGAGUUGGAGUAAGGCCAGAUCUCAGUCGGAGCUGAUCCCACAUCACCAACAUCAGGUCCAGAGACCUUCUGAGAACCUUGCAGCCUGCGGAAAGGAGACCCCAAACCCAGUAAAUUAAACAAAAUGAGAAGACAGAGAAACAUACAGCUGAUGAAGGAGCAUGGUAAAAACUACCAAACCAAACAACGAAAAAGGAAAUAGGCCAUCUACCUGAAAAAGAAUUCAGAGUAAUGGUAGUAAAAAUGAUCCAGAACCUUGGAGAUAAAAUGGAGGCACAGAUAAAUAGAAUGGAGACAAGGAUUGAGA
ensembl:lncRNA